rnacentral:rRNA from 1 species
AUUGAACGCUGGCGGCAGGCCUAACACAUGCAAGUCGAGCGGAGCGGCGGACGGGUGAGUAAUGCCUAGGAAUCUGCCUGGUAGUGGGGGAUAACGUCCGGAAACGGGCGCUAAUACCGCAUACUAUCAGAUGAGCGUAGGUCGGAUUAGCUAGUUGGUGGGGUAAAGGCCUACCAAGGCGACGAUCCGUACCUGGUCUGAGAGGAUGAUCAGUCACACUGGAACUGAGACACGGUCCAGACUCCUACGGGAGGCAGCAGUAGGGAAUAUUGGACAAUGGGCGAAAGCCUGACCCAGCCAUGCCGCGUGUGUGAAGAAGGUCUUCGGAUUGUAAAGCACUGUAAGUUGGGAAGCGUUACCUACAGAAUAAGCACCGGCUAACUACGUGCCAGCAGCCGCGGUAAUUC